AAAACAGGAGCGGUUCGCCCUAUAAGGAAAUUCCCCGCCUCCCAGCCCAUCAUGCCUUGCUGCCGACUUCCGGUUCUCCAGGGUAUAAAGCGGCGGCUCCGGGCCAAAUUUCAGGAGAAGCUUUGGUGCGAGCCUCUUGACUCUUCUGACCUGGAUCGUUUUCCCUGGAAUAAAUGGUGUCAGACUCGUUGCUAAAUAGUCUGACAACCAGAGGGGACGAGCCCAUGGCUGCCGAAGGUUCCAGGUCAGCCCCCAGAGCCCGGUGAAGCCACUCUACCUCCCGCUCGCUCUUCGCGUCUCAGGUAAUCUUCGAAGCAAGGGAAGAGAAGAGUAUGCUAUCCUGUCAUGACAUUUCUUUUCAAAAUACGUGGCUUAAAGAGGAACGGAAAGAGAAGUCAUUAUUUCCAAACUUCAAGGACAGAGAUCCUCUAGGAUUCUACCCAGUAUUGAGCUUGCAUUCCUGUUGCACCUUGCUAGACCACAAUCACAUUUGUGUUUACUUGGAGCCAAAUAACUCCUACCAAAGGAAUGUGAGUGAAAGGUUGUGUUACCAACUCAUGGAGUGAAAAGAGUUAUGUCAAUUCUAAAACAGGGAAGAGAAAAUGAUUUGGCUCAUUUUGACUGAACGGUGAAAAUGACAGAUGGAGGCGCAGGAGAGUGUUCCACAUUCCUAAGGCUGUUGAUUCUACCAGGGGUGAAGAGGUAAGAGCAGCACAAUUAGUCAGGUGGGAAGAAAAUUAUACUCCUGCUGGAAGCAGGAUAGGACUCGUUAGAAUCUUUGCUUGACAAGAUUAAUCCGUCUGGUGUCAAAACUUCCAAUUAGCAUUCGGUAUUAUUCCCACUACUGAGCUCAUUCAGAACUUACAGUCGAAAAUCA
rnacentral:lncRNA from 1 species